rnacentral:lncRNA from 1 species
AAAUUAAAGACAUCACAAGCCUUAUCAAGCUACAAUAUUUGAGGUUCUUGUAAGAUAAUGAUACAAAGACUUAAAUCUUUAGAGUUGUGAAAGAGAGGAUGUAUGAAAGAUUGUCUAGUCGUGUCUUUUUUAGGGACUAGAGUCUUGUAAAGGCACAGGGUAUAUCUGGAAUUACUACGGCAAAAUCACACACGCGCAUUCACACACACACACACAG